rnacentral:rRNA from 1 species
UCACCUACGGGGGGCAGCAGUAGGGAAUCUUCCACAAUGGACGAAACCCUGAACGAGCAAUGCCGCGUGAGUGAAGAAGGCCUUCGGGUCGUAAAGCUCUGUUGUAAGAGAAAAACGGUAAUGAUAGGGAAUGAUCAUUAAGUGAUGGUAUCUUACGAGGAAGCCACGGCUAACUACGUGCCAGCAGCCGCGGUAAUACGUAGGUGGCAAGCGUUAUCCGGAAUGAUUGGGCGUAAAGGGUGCGCAGGCGGAACCAUAAGUCUGAAGUAAAAGCCAUCGGCUCAACCGAUGUAAGCUUUGGAAAC